CUGUCAGGAAGUAUGAAUGGCUUUGUAAUCAUAGUAGAGAAAGGGAGUCUAAGGGAAGAAAGCGUGCAAAUGUAUUUAACAAUGUGGCUGCAAGAGGAGAAGAGCAAGAGGAAGAUUUCAGGAAAUGUAUUGCUUGGAAUACUUUCUUGUGUGGAUAAAAUCCAUGUCUGAAACAAUGCUUAAUAGAGGAGCCUACAAAAAGAAGAUGAGUGACCAGAGUAUUUACCAGUAUGUGAUUGGACAAAUGCAUGAAUGCACCUACAGUCAAAUAAAUUUUGCUGGGAUUCGUCUGAAGACACAAGUUUUAUACAUUUGUACAUUUUAAAACAAGAAUUUUAUUAUUUUAUCAUUAUGUGAGCAAUUAACAUGUUCAUGAAAAUCUCUUCAUCAUAGCAGGUCAGGAUUUGCACAGGUGUUUAUCUGUUAUCUGAUCUGCAUUGAUUAUGUUUUUCAGGUGUAUUUAUAUGCAAUAAAACGGUUCUCAGAUAUAUUGUUGUAUAUGAAAAGAUUGAUGAAUGCUAAUCUCAAGCCAGUAUCCAAACGUGGUUUUGAAGUUGAGUCUUUUGGUGCCACCUUCUGGUGUGAGCUGUUUGAUAGGGACAGAAUGCAGCUCGGGUUUUUAUUAAUAGAUGUGUUAUGGGGAUGUCGUCACGUCAUGUUUUCAGUAGUGACUUAGGUCACAGUAGAAUGGGAAUGACAAGAUAGUGAAUUAUAGUAAAUGAUUGCAAAAGAUAUACUUAAUUUAAGCCAACAGUCCUUGUUAUCUAAUAGAGGGGAAAAGGUUC
ensembl:lncRNA